GUGCUAAUAUAUCUCUGCUUAGAAUAUAGGUCAUAUGAAUUCUCUGUUUCAUAUGUAUUGUCGCUUUAAAAUUAAGAUUAAUAUCAGAUUAAGAUCACUUCAUUGGUUAAUAAACUUUGAACCCAAUUUGAAACACACACAUUUCUACACAUACGGAGAGGUGCUGCCAAAAUGGGUGCCUAGGGAGCUGUUGUUGUGGGGUUUAAGUGCCUUGCCCAAGGGCACAACGUCAGGCAAUGGUAUCUAGGAUUUGAUACCAGCAACCUUCCGGUUGCCAGCUCACUUCACAACAUAUUUUUUCUUGUCGGAUUCGGGAUUCUAACCGGAAACCCUCCAGAUAUCUGAUUCUGUCCAGGUACAUGCUACACAUUGGUUAAGUGUUUUGAGAACUUGAAAAACAGCUAUGAAAAUGUGUAUGGUGAAGGCACAACCAGCUGCAGAUGUUGUAGUGAUUUUGAAGUAUUUCCAGAAUAACUAUCAAGUAUAAAUCUGAAUUGAUGAUGGCCAUAAAGUACUGUAGAACUGUCUGGCUGCAUCCUAAAUCUACAUGGUAUGAGAAACACCUUAGUGGGCGACCAGUGUUAUUGCUCUUUCUUUCACUGUAAAUAGUUGAUGCCGUGGCAGCCUUAAUUACACCCUAUUGCCUAUGUAGGGGUUGACUUUUGACCGGGGCACGUAGGGCUACGUAGUGCUGUACAUCGUGAAUAGGGGACAUUGUCUUCGUGACGCUGUCAAUACCGGUUGUCUUCUCUGAGAAAUAUGGGAUCAAUGAAGAGGUCUCCUCACCUGUUUCUAGUUCAUCAGACUCAAUGUUGUCACGGUUCCCACCCAGUCUUCUGUGGGAUCUCUACACUAACAGAGUGGAUGGAUUCAAACUAUAAAACAGAUUGUUGAAAUAUAUGGUUUUUGAGAGGAGUAUGGUUUUUGAGAGAGGAGUGAGUUUUUGAGAGUGGAGUAUGGUUUUUGAGAGAGGAGUGAGUUUUUGAGAGUGGAGUAUGGUUUUUGAGAGAGGAGUAUGGUUUUUGAGAGAGGAGUGAGUUUUGAGAGUGGAGUAUGGUUUUUGAGAGAGGAGUAUGGUUUUUGAGAGUAGUAUGAGUAGGCUAAGGAGUAUGGUUUUUAAGAGUGGAGUGUGGUUUUUGAGAGAGGUGUGGUUUAAGAAAAAGGAGUAUGGUUUUGAGAGAGGAGUAUAAUUUUUGAGAGAGGAGUAUAGUUUUUGAGAGAGGAGUGUGGUUUUGAGAGCGGAGUAUGGUUUUUGAGAGAGGAGUAUGGUUUUUGAGAGAGGAGUAUGGUUUUUGAGAGAGGAGUAUGGUUUUUGAGAGAGGAGUAUGGUUUUUGAGAGAGGAGUGGGGUUUUUGAGAGAGGAGUAUGGUUUUUGAGAGAGGAGUAUGGUUUUUGAGAGAGGAGUAUGGUUUUUGAGAGAGGAGUGGGGUUUUUGAGAGUGGAGUGUGGUUUUUGAGAGGAUUAUAGUUUUUGAGAGAGGAGUAUGGUUUUUGAGAGAGGAGUGGGGUUUUUGAGAGUGGAGUGUGGUUUUUGAGAGGAUUAUAGUUUUUGAGAGAGGAGGGUUUUUGCUGUGUUUCAGCAGAUGUACAUUGAAUAUUGCUAUAAGAGAGAGGAGCACCACUGUAGUCUCACUACAGCGGUGCACCGUGUACAGUGUGAGAAUGGAGAACAGCCAUUGCAAUUAUGUCAGAUCAGACAUCCAAUUUUGACAACCAAACCUUGUUACAAAUUUGUUUCUGUAAAAAUCUGGGUUAAAUGGGUAGGUGAUUAUUCUACCAAGCCAAUCAGCAGGCAAGGUGGAGCCAUUCUACAGUACCUAUCAAAUCCUCUCAGGUCUCUACAAGUGCAUAGGGGAGAGAGGCUUGGGGUGAACUCGGGAUGAAAUGAAACUAGUGCACUGACGGAGUGGUAACGGUGAUUCUCAGUACUCUGUUAUGGGGUAGUUAGUAUAGCAUUUCCCUGGGCCCUCUCCCUCUCUCUCCACUACAGAGUUUUUGCUGUUGCUGUUCUCCCUCUCUCUCCACUACAGAGUUGUUGCUGCUCUCCCUCUCUCUCCACUAUAGAGUUGUUGCUGCUCUCCCUCUCUCUCCACUAUAGAGUUGUUGCUGCUCUCCCUCUCUCUCCACUACAGAGUUGUUGCUGCUCUCCCUCUCUCUCCACUACAGAGUUGUUGCUGCUCUCCCUCUCUCUCCACUAUAGAGUUGUUGCUGCUCUCCCUCUCUCUCCACUACAGAGUUGUUGCUGCUCUCCCUCUCUCUCCACUACAGAGCUGUUGCUG
ensembl:lncRNA